CCUACGGGAGGCAGCAGUGGGGAAUCUUGCGCAAGUGGGACGAAAGCCUGACGCAGCCAUGCCGCGUGAAUGAUGAAGGUCUUAGGAUUGUAAAUUCUUCACCGGGGACGAUAAUGACGGUACCCGGAGAAGAAGCCCCGGCUAACUUCGUGCCAGCAGCCGCGGUAAUACGAAGGGGGCUAGCGUUGCUCGGAAUUACUGGGCGUAAAGGGAGCGUAAGGCGGAUAGUUUAGUCAGAGGUGAAAGCCCAGGGCUCAACCUUGGAAUUGCCUUUGAUACUGGCUAUCUUGAGUUUGGGAGAGGUGAGUGGAACUCCGAGUGUAGAGGUGAAAUUCGUAGAUAUUCGGAAGAACACCAGUGGCGAAGGCGACUCACUGGCCCAAUACUGACGCUGAGGCUCGAAAGCGUGGGGAGCAAACAGGAUUAGAUACCCUGGUAGUCCACGCCGUAAACGAUGAGUGCUAGUUGUCGGCAUGCAUGNAUGUCGUGACGCAGCUAACGACAUUAAGUACACUACCGCCGUCGGGAGGUAACGGUACGGACGAAGAAUUAAAACUAACAAAGAAAGUAGACGGACGNGAGACGAGCGAACGGACGACGACGAGGGAGGAGG
rnacentral:rRNA from 1 species